rnacentral:rRNA from 1 species
UUCCAGACUCCUACGGGAGGCAGCAGUGGGGGAUAUUGCACAAUGGGGGGAACCCUGAUGCAGCGACGCCGCGUGGGUGAAGGAGUGCUUCGGCAUGUAAAGCCCUAUCGGCAGGGAAGAAGCAAGACGGUACCUGACUAAGAAGCCCCGACUAACUACGUGCCAGCAGCCGCGGUAAUACGUAGGGGGCGAGCGUUAUCCGGAUUCACUGGGUGUAAAGGGAGCGUAGACGGCCAUGCAAGCCAGGGGUGAAAGCCCGGGGCCCAACCCCGGGACUGCAUUGGAAACUGUAUUUCUAGAGUGUCGGAGAGGCAAGUGGAAUUCCUGGUGUAGCGGUGAAAUGCGUAGAUAUCAGGAGGAACACCAGUGGCGAAGGCGGCUUGCUGGACGAUGACUGACGUUGAGGCUCGAAAGCGUGGGGAGCAAACAGGAUUAGAUACCCUCGUAAC